AGUGAACGCUGGCGGUAGGCCUAACACAUGCAAGUCGAACGGCAGCACAGUAAGAGCUUGCUCUUACGGGUGGCGAGUGGCGGAUGGGUGAGGAAUACAUCGGAAUCUACUUUUUCGUGGGGGAUAACGUAGGGAAACUUACGCUAAUACCGCAUACGACCUACGGGUGAAAGCAGGGGAUCUUCGGACCUUGCGCGAUUGAAUGAGCCGAUGUCGGAUUAGCUAGUUGGCGGGGUAAAGGCCCACCAAGGCGACGAUCCGUAGCUGGUCUGAGAGGAUGAUCAGCCCCACUGGAACUGAGACACGGUCCAGACUCCGACGGGAGGCAGCAGUGGGGAAUAAUGGACAAUGGCAGCAAGCCUGAUCCAGCCAUACCGCGUGGGUGAAGAAGGCCUUCGGGUUGUAAAGCCCUUUUGUUGGGAAAGAAAAGCAGCAGGUUAAUACCACGCUGUUCUGACGGUACCCAAAGAAUAAGCACCGGCUAACUUCGUG
rnacentral:rRNA from 1 species